UGAACUCCUGGCUUCAAUCGAUCCUUCUACCUUAGCCUCCUGCGUAUCUGGAACUACAUGUGCAAGUCACCAUACCCAGGCCCCUCUGAGCAGGGCCCAGCCGGUUCCAUUCGUCCUGGGAGAGGAGCACAGCCACAUCCUCGAAGGUUAACUUGGCCUGAAACGACAGGGGCUGCUGCAGGCACCUGGGACUGGUUCACCUGCCUCACUUGGGCCAGCUGCACUGAGGCCACACCUGUAAAUCCAGGAGAUGACACACUCCUCUGAAGGCCUAGAGAUCACGUGGUUGGUGAGAGGAGAUCUCAUAGAACAGCCCUGGCUCAGAGGUGGAUGCUGCUGGAUAAGGUAUUAUCUAUUUGAUUAAAUUAACACACAGAAGAAAAAUUCCAAAGGACAAUACCAGUCUGUUAGCAAGUGUGUGGCAGAGAGAAGUGAAAGGGAAAGAUUGUAGCAGGCGCGGUGGCUCACACCUGUAAUCCCAGCACUUCGGGAGGCCGA